rnacentral:tRNA from 1 species
UGGUUUAGUGGUAUAAUUCUUGCUUUGGGUUCUUCUAAACUGAAAUGCAAGAGGCCCUGGGUUCGAUUCCCAG